rnacentral:rRNA from 1 species
GCUUAACCGGAGAAGUGCAUCGGAAACUGAUAAACUUGAGUGCAGAAAAGGAUAGUGGAACUUCAUGUGUAGCGGUGAAAUGCGUAGAUAUGUGAAGGAACACCAGUGGCGAAGGCGGCUAUCUGGUCUGUAACUGACGCUGAGGCUCGAAAGCAUGGGUAGCAAACAGGAUUAGAUACCCUGUAGUCCAUGCCGUAAACGAUGAAUGCUAGGUGUUGGAAGGUUUCCGCCUUUCAGUGCCGCAGCUAACGCAUUAAGCAUUCCGCCUGGGGAGUACGACCGCAAGGUUGAAACUCAAAGGAAUUGACGGGGACCUGCACAAGCGGUGGAGCAUGUGGUUUAAUUCGAUGCUACGCGAAGAACCUUACCAGGACUUGACAUCUUCUGCCAAUCUAAGAGAUUAGACGUUCCCUUCGGGGACAGAAUGACAGGUGGUGCAUGGUUGUCGUCAGCUCGUGUCGUGAGAUGUUGGGUUAAGUCCCGCAACGAGCGCAACCCUUGUCUUUAGUUGCCAGCAUUAAGUCGGGCACUCUAGAGAGACUGCCGGUGAUAAACCGGAGGAAGGUGGGGAUGACGUCAAAUCAUCAUGCCCCUUAUGUCCUGGGCUACGCACGUGCUACAAUGGGCGAUACAACG